AGAAACGCCUCACUCUCCUCCGGCCUCCACCGCUACGAAGAUGCUGCAGCUCGUCCCACCAGCUCUAAUAAUGUGUUUUUGUGUUUUAGUUAACGGGCAACCUGAGGACUCCAGACUGACCGAGAGAGCUUAUGUGUUCUUACAGAAGCAGAAUUUAGUCACGCUGGGGAGUGUCCUCGCAGUGCUGCUGGUGCUCAUGAUUGUCAUGGCUGUCUGUGUCUACAAACCGCUGUCUCGUCGGUGAAAAAAGGGGGCGAAACGCUUUUAGGAGAUAAAGACAGAGACAACCCUGCUGUCUGCCCGGUGCAAAGUGACACCUGCACUGAGCUACUCGGCCCCGGAACCGCAACCAACUCCUGGAAAGACCAAACUGAGGGCGAACCCGAGCUCUGCCAGCACCGAAGACAUCCACAGUACAAAGGAGACACCUGAAUAAACGAGUGGAGACCAUAGACUGUAUGUAAAAGGUGGAGACCCUGAUGCAGACGCUUGCACGCAUGUGCACUGCAUAAUAAAAUUAAGCAGUUAAUGUAAAAUCAUGCUCUGUGUCAGUUAUAAAAAUGCUGAGCAGGCCCAGUUGAUUCUGAUGCUUGUGCAUUAGUGCGCUAUGUAAGUGAAAAACACAAGAGCAACUUUUCUUCAGGAGACUGAGAAUGUCUUUGCAAAACAUGAUCAUACUGUCAGCAAGAACAGCCUGUCGACAAUUAAGUUACAACGAGAGGGAUAUUAACUGUAGGGUAGCAGUGCAUAAUCCCUGCGUUACAAAGAUGGAUGCAUAUUCUAAAUGACAAUAAUAACAUUCUUCCUUCGUGGUAGCUCUGUAUGCUACACAAUCCAAUUGUCCAAUAGUAUUCUUUCAUUAUGGGUUAUAUCCAGAGUAGGGAUGUUGGAUUGGAAUGACUAUGACCAUAUUUAGCAACUAGCCAACCAAAUAUUUUCACUGCAGAUAAAUCAUCUAAACUGUAAAUUGUCUUCAAAAUGUUAACACUUGACCUGACAAUAAAGAUCCCCACUCUUUUUAAACA